rnacentral:rRNA from 1 species
GUACACGCUGUGACUAGCAUAUCAAUAAGCGGAGGAAAAGAAACUAACAAGGAUUCCCCUAGUAACGGCGAGUGAAGCGGGAAGAGCUCAAAUUUGAAAUCUUAAAGGGUUUCCCUUUACGAAUUGUAGUUUAAAGAAGUGUUUUCUGUUGAGGUUUUGGUAAAAGUUCUUUGGAAUAGGACAUCAUAGAGGGUGAGAAUCCCGUAUUUGACCUUUACUUUCAACUUUGUGAUACACUUUCAAAGAGUCGGAUUGUUUGGGAAUGCAGUCCAAAAUGGGUGGUAAAUUUCAUCUAAAGCUAAAUAUUGGCGAGAGACCGAUAGCGAACAAGUACCGUGAGGGAAAGAUGAAAAGAACUUUGAAAAGAGAGUUAAACAGUACGUGAAAUUGUCAAAAGGGAAGCGUUUGACACCAGUGUUGUUUUUCUGAAAAUCAAUUAAAGAACUGUUUAUGCUAAGUUGUUUAGACUUUAUCAGGCUAUCUGUUUCGUUUUGAGCUUUUCUUUAAUGCACUUUUCAGUUAACAAGUCAACAUCAAUUUCUUUUGCUGUAAAAAAGCUUGAGGAAGGUGGCUUGAGAUUCGUCUUAAGUGUUUAUAGCCUCUUGCCUAUGCAGUCGGAGAGAUUGAGGUCUGCAGCGUAGAUCCUUCGGGGCUAAAUGCAUUUGUGCUAAGUUAUAGCAUUUUAUAGACAACUUGUUGACUAUGAUUUGUCUUGUAGCUUACUCGCUUAUGUUAUUUUACCUACGCUUAGGAUGUUGAAGAUGUAGCACAUCAU